ensembl:lncRNA
UCGUGCGGUCUGGCUAUACUGCUGUAGCCUACACUCCUAUCUCCAUCUCCUUGAGAACCACUUGGCGGAGAACGGCGUAUUGCUGUCCUGGCCGGGAUAGAGCCAGGGAGCAACGCGAAACGCCAGAGACAUCUCCGAAAAGCGUCUUUUGAUAUACAGCUGCCUUUUGGGUGUCAUCCCACAUCCGCCGAAGGAGGUGUCCACGAUUUAUGCCGCAAGCGCCAGUGCUCCAGUUUUAUAGCUUACUAGCCUACAAGACAACGAGUGAUGUUGAUUCGUCCGGUGGAUCUUGUUGGAUUGCUGUAUGCUAUGCAUUUUCACCUUCCGAAUUGAACCUCACAGCAGGCUACAACGGCGAUUAAAGGGGAUCUUUGUUUUGCUCAUCUUUGAUUGGUUAUUUUCCCUUCACUGAGCGGUCGACACCCCAGAAGCUUGUGAGGAGAGAGAUUUGGAAGGGAUCACCCUAAAGGACAGGCGGUUCACAGAAGAAUACAUAUUAAAAACAAGACAUCGUAGGCCGUCCAUUUUGUCACGGGAGGAUGUUGAGGGAUGGACUGUUGAGAUAAAUAGGAGAUAUUGGCUUUUGGAAAUGGACCCAGAGGACGGAAAUAUUCAAGGAUAUUAAUCACGUCUUAACGGAAAUAUGAAAGGACGAUGACAAUUUCAUCAUACAAGUCACAUCUCACUUGAUGUUUAUCACCGAUCUGCAAUCUGGGAAAACUGGAACUGGAAAAAGAUGACCCAGAAAUUAUGAUCCCUGUGUCUAUCGUGGCUCCAGUAGCUGUAUAUAAAAUCCUGUAGGAUAAUGGAAUAUCAUGCAAGAACAAUGACCUGAUUUUAUCUAACCAAGCACAGGGCAGUUGGUUUUUAAUUAAACGCACCUUUAUUUGUUAUAAUAAUUAUAUCGAUUCACUCAACAUACGGGAAUGGCAUAAGACGAAUCUCCUUGUUUGUUUGUAACGUGAUUUAGAGCUACAUGACCUCAUUCAGAUUUUUUUUUUUUUUUACAGUGGAAUAGGCUAUUUGUUUCGUGCGGCAUCCAGCAGCACACCGAAUAUACCGGAUUCAUGUCAUCUGUAGCCUAGUACUGAGCCAUCACACCUGACUGGCCUACAGAGGAACAUAACCGUCAGAUGAAUAUGGCUUCCCUACACGCUGUGUGAUGUAGUAUUUGGAUUGGAUUGAGCAGGAACAUCUCUGGAGAAAAAAGGAAUUGUAGCCUAGUUGAGGAAUUGCUGAACUCGAUCCUGGCGGAGACUACCACAGCUCUAAAAGAGACCAGCUUUAUUUUUGUAAGAUUUUGUUUGGUUAUUUUUUUAUUAUGCUAUUUGCUCAGUUGCUUUAAUCACGGCUGCAAUUGUCAGCCAAAUACAUUGGGGCACCCACCACUUAGCUGUUGUUGAUCCAUCACCGGCGUAAAGGAAACCAUGUCUGUCGCUUUUCAGAUCAUAUGAAACUGUGGGUGAUUUCACUAGCCUGCGUCCACAAGGACACUUCAUUCAUUUGUUUGUUAAAGCCGUCCACGUUUGUACGAAGUCACAUUUGACAGCUCAGGGAUUGAUGACAAGCCGAAGACUACAUCGUUCCUCCGAGGAAUCCUACUGGUGGACAAAGUCUGGUUCAGAUACGCGACAGUUAACAGGAAUUCGACACGUUCCGAGUCUACAGUCUGUGGGGUUUCUGCUGUUUCGCUCAAAAUGUGGAGAGAGGGAUCAUAAAAGAGCUUCAGAUUGCAUCAAGAUUUGUCAGGAAAAAGACGAAGAAGGGGCUAUGAAUCCUAGAUGAUGAUGAUGAUGAUGCUCGAUACUCAGGUACGUGGAUAAUGUUUAUGUCUGUUUAAAUGCCUGCUGUUGUAACUCAAGAAGUUUUUUAUUAGAAUUCUUUAACCACUCUUGUCGUCGC